AUUGAACGCUGGCGGCAGGCCUAACACAUGCAAGUCGAACGAGUGGCGGACGGGUGAGUAAUGUCUGGGAACCUGCCUGAUGGAGGGGGCUAACUACUGGAAACGGUCGCUAAUACCGCAUACCAUCGGAGGUGCCCAGAUGGGAGUAGCUAGUAGGUGGGGUAACGGCGCACCAAGGCGACGAUCCCUAGCUGGUCUGAGAGGAGGACCAGCCACACUGGAACUGAGACACGGUCCAGACUCCUACGGGAGGCAGCAGUGGGGAAUAUUGCACAAUGGGCGCAAGCCUGAUGCAGCCAUGCCGCGUGUAUGAAGAAGGCCUUCGGGUUGUAAAGUACUUUCAGCGGGGAGGCGUUACCCGCAGAAGAAGCACCGGCUAACUCCGUGCCAGCAGCCGCGGUAAUAC
rnacentral:rRNA from 1 species